CCUACGGGGGGCAGCAGUGGGGAAUCUUGCACAAUGGGCGCAAGCCUGAUGCAGCGAUGCCGCGUGCGGGAAGAAGGCCUUAGGGUUGUAAACCGCUUUCAGGAGGGAAGAAAAUGACGGUACCUCCAGAAGAAGGUGCGGCCAACUACGUGCCAGCAGCCGCGGUGACACGUAGGCACCAAGCGUUAUCCGGAUUUAUUGGGCGUAAAGAGCUCGUAGGCGGUUUGGUAAGUCGGGUGUGAAAACUCUGGGCUCAACCCAGAGAGGCCACUCGAUACUGCUAUGACUAGAGUACGGUAGGGGAGCGGGGAAUUCCUGGUGUAGCGGUGAAAUGCGCAGAUAUCAGGAGGAACACCAGCGGCGAAGGCGCCGCUCUGGGCCGUAACUGACGCUGAGGAGCGAAAGCAUGGGUAGCAAACAGGAUUAGAUACCCGGGUAGUC
rnacentral:rRNA from 1 species